rnacentral:lncRNA from 1 species
AAUGAUUUUGGAAUGAAAACUCCCCAAGGACUUCAUUCAGUAUCUCCUGGGAUUCCAAAUAAAACCCAACUGCACUAACAAAAAGAGAGAGAGGAAAAAAAAGCUCCCUUGAAAGUUCCAAGAGUAUGCAGUUGUUCUUUUAUCAAAAUAGAUUUUUCACAAGUGACCCAAAUAGAAUUACAGCUUAGGAAAAUCAAACCUUUAAUUCUGAAGAAUAAUUUGCACCUAGAGAAAAAUCUCAGGUAAUGGUUUUCACUGCAUGUGGACUUUAGACCAAAUCUAUUUAUUUGGAUUUUGCUGAAGUCUGGGUAUAACCACUUGUUGGCCUUUGCUUCAGGACCACCGUCCUAGUGAGAGUAUCUUACAACAAGCUGCUUUGAUACCUUAGUAACUGAACAACCUUGGGUAGGGUUCCAGACAAACCAGACCAUAAAAUUUUGGCAUUUUAAUUAGGUUUCAAUGUACUCUGUAAACGGUACAGCACAAAUCAAAUGGCAAUUUUUCCAUUCAGUUAAAACCUUACUUAAUAGGCAGCAUAUAAGUGGCACAACUUUGAAUUCAGGAAACCCAUAAAUAUUAACUUUGCCCCAAAACACCUUAGGGAAAGGGACAAUUCAAGGAACACACUGAUAAAUCUUAUGUCAAAAAUCUGUUCUUAAAUUGUUGUAUGACAACUGACUUUUC